GGACCUAGCGUAGUUCGGAAUUACUGGGCUUAAAGAGCACGUAGGUGGUUAAGAAAGUUGGUGGUGAAAUCCCAAGGCUUAACCUUGGAACUGCCACCAAAACUUUUUAACUAGAGUAUGAUUGAGGUAAGCGGAAUUUCUAGUGUAGAGGUGAAAUUCGUAGAUAUUAGAAAGAACACCAAUUGCGAAGGCAGCUUUCUGGAUCAUUACUGACACUGAGGUGCGAAAGCAUGGGUAGCGAAGAGGAUUAGAUACCCUCGUAGUCCAUGCCGUAAACGAUGUGUGCUAGACGUUGGGAAUUUAUUUUUCAGUGUCGCAGCAAAAGCGUUAAGCACACCGCCUGGGGAGUACGACCGCAAGGUUAAAACUCAAAUGAAUUGACGGGGACCCGCACAAGUAGUGGAGCAUGUGGUUUAAUUCGAAGAUACGCGCAGAACCUUACCAACACUUGACAUGUUCGUCGCGACUCUAAGAGAUUAGAGUUUUCGGUUCGGCCGAACGAAACACAGGUGCUGCAUGGCUGUCGUCAGCUCGUGUCGUGAGAUGUUGGGUUAAGUCCCGCAACGAGCGCAACCCUUACUUUUAGUUGCUACCAUUUAGUUGGGCACUCUAAAAGAACUGCCAGUGAUAAGCUGGAGGAAGGUGGGGAUGACGUCAAGUCCUCAUGGCCCUUAUGUGUUGGGCUACACACGUGCUACAAUGGUAUUUACAGAGGGAAGCUAAGAGGCAACUCCAAGCUAAUCCCAAAAAGAUACCUCAGUUCGGAUUGUACUCUGCAACUCGAGUACAUGAAGCUGGAAUUACUAGUAAUCGCGGAUCAGCGCGCCGCGGUGAAUACGUUCCCGGGUCUUGCACACACUGCCCGUCAAGGGAGAAUUCGUUUA
rnacentral:rRNA from 1 species